rnacentral:rRNA from 1 species
UACGGGGGGGGCAAGCGUUGUUCGGAAUUACUGGGCGUAAAGGGCUCGUAGGUGGCCAACUAAGUCAGACGUGAAGUCCCUCGGCUUAACCGGGGAACUGCGUCUGAUACUGGAUGGCUUGAGUUCGGGAGAGGGAUGCGGAAUUCCAGGUGUAGCGGUGAAAUGCGUAGAUAUCUGGAGGAACACCGGUGGCGAAGGCGGCAUCCUGGACCGACACUGACGCUGAGGAGCGAAAGCCAGGGGAGCAAACGGG